rnacentral:rRNA from 1 species
UUAAGUGACUAAGCGUACACGGUGGAUGCCUUGGCAGUCAGAGGCGAUGAAGGACGUAUUAACUUGCGAUAAGCCCAGAUUAGGUAGUAAAAACCAUUUGAGUCUGGGAUUUCCGAAUGGGGAAACCCACUAGCAUAAGCUAGUAUCGCUGCGUGAAUACAUAGCGCAGCGAGGCGAACCGGGGGAACUGAAACAUCUAAGUACCCCGAGGAAAAGAAAUCAACCGAGAUUCCGAAAGUAGCGGCGAGCGAAAUUGGACUAGCCCUUAAGCUUUUUAUGCGUCAGGUGAAACUUCUGGAAAGUUGUGCGAUACAGGGUGAUAGCCCCGUAACCGGCAACGCAUUUAAAGUGAAAUCGAGUAGGGCGGGACACGUGAUAUCCUGUCUGAAUAUGGGGGGACCAUCCUCCAAGGCUAAAUACUACUGACUGACCGAUAGUGAACCAGUACCGUGAGGGAAAGGCGAAAAGAACCCCUGUGAGGGGAGUGAAAUAGAACCUGAAACCGUGUACGUACAAGCAGUAGGAGCACCUUCGUGGUGUGACUGCGUACCUUUUGUAUAAUGGGUCAGCGACUUAUAUUCAGUGGCAAGGUUAACCAUCUAGGGGAGCCGUAGGGAAACCGAGUCUUAACUGGGCGUUCAGUCUCUGGAUAUAGACCCGAAACCAGGUGAUCUAGCCAUGGGCAGGUUGAAGGUUGAGUAACAUCAACUGGAGGACCGAACCGACUAAUGUUGAAAAAUUAGCGGAUGACUUGUGGCUAGGGGUGAAAGGCCAAUCAAACCUGGAGAUAGCUGGUUCUCCCCGAAAGCUAUUUAGGUAGCGCCUCGGACGAAUACUACUGGGGGUAGAGCACUGUUAAGGCUAGGGGGUCAUCCCGACUUACCAACCCUUUGCAAACUCCGAAUACCAGUAAGUACUAUCCGGGAGACACACGGCGGGUGCUAACGUCCGUCGUGGAGAGGGAAACAACCCAGACCGCCAGCUAAGGUCCCAAAUUACUACUAAGUGGGAAACGAUGUGGGAAGGCUCAGACAGCCAGGAUGUUGGCUUAGAAGCAGCCAUCAUUUAAAGAAAGCGUAAUAGCUCACUGGUCGAGUCGGCCUGCGCGGAAGAUGUAACGGGGCUAAGUAGUAAACCGAAGCUGCGGCAAUGCACUUUAGUGCAUUGGGUAGGGGAGCGUUCUGUAAGCGGUUGAAGGUGUGUGGUAACGCAUGCUGGACGUAUCAGAAGUGCGAAUGCUGACAUGAGUAACGAUAAAGGGGGUGAAAAACCUCCUCGCCGGAAGACCAAGGGUUCCUGUCCAACGUUAAUCGGGGCAGGGUAAGUCGACCCCUAAGGCGAGGCCGAAAGGCGUAGUCGAUGGGAAACGGGUUAAUAUUCCCGUACUUCUUACAAUUGCGAUGGGGGGACGGAGAAGGCUAGGUGGGCCUGGCGACGGUUGUCCAGGUUCAAGUGCGUAGGCUUAAGAGUUAGGUAAAUCCGGCUCUUUUUAAGGCUGAGACACGACGUCGAGCUACUACGGUAGUGAAGUCAUUGAUGCCAUGCUUCCAGGAAAAGCCUCUAAGCUUCAGAUUGUAAGGAAUCGUACCCCAAACCGACACAGGUGGUCGGGUAGAGAAUACCAAGGCGCUUGAGAGAACUCGGGUGAAGGAACUAGGCAAAAUGGUACCGUAACUUCGGGAGAAGGUACGCUCUCGACGGUGAAGUCCCUCGCGGAUGGAGCUAUUGAGAGUCGCAGAUACCAGGUGGCUGCAACUGUUUAUUAAAAACACAGCACUGUGCAAAAUCGUAAGAUGACGUAUACGGUGUGACGCCUGCCCGGUGCCGGAAGGUUAAUUGAUGGGGUUAGACUUCGGUCGAAGCUCUUGAUCGAAGCCCCGGUAAACGGCGGCCGUAACUAUAACGGUCCUAAGGUAGCGAAAUUCCUUGUCGGGUAAGUUCCGACCUGCACGAAUGGCGUAAUGAUGGCCACGCUGUCUCCACCCGAGACUCAGUGAAAUUGAAAUCGCUGUGAAGAUGCAGUGUACCCGCGGCUAGACGGAAAGACCCCGUGAACCUUUACUACAGCUUGGCACUGAACAUUGACCCUACAUGUGUAGGAUAGGUGGGAGGCUUUGAAGCACAGUCGCUAGAUUGUGUGGAGCCGUCCUUGAAAUACCACCCUUGUAGUGUUGAUGUUCUAACGUUGACCCCUAAUCGGGGUUGCGGACAGUGCCUGGUGGGUAGUUUGACUGGGGCGGUCUCCUCCCAAAGCGUAACGGAGGAGCACGAAGGUGGGCUAAUCACGGUUGGACAUCGUGAGGUUAGUGCAAUGGCAUAAGCCCGCUUGACUGCGAGAAUGACGGUUCGAGCAGGUGCGAAAGCAGGUCAUAGUGAUCCGGUGGUUCUGAAUGGAAGGGCCAUCGCUCAACGGAUAAAAGGUACUCCGGGGAUAACAGGCUGAUACCGCCCAAGAGUUCAUAUCGACGGCGGUGUUUGGCACCUCGAUGUCGGCUCAUCACAUCCUGGGGCUGAAGUCGGUCCCAAGGGUAUGGCUGUUCGCCAUUUAAAGUGGUACGCGAGCUGGGUUUAGAACGUCGUGAGACAGUUCGGUCCCUAUCUGCCGUGGGCGUUGGAAGAUUGAAGGGGGCUGCUCCUAGUACGAGAGGACCGGAGUGGACGAACCUCUGGUGUUCGGGUUGUGUCGCCAGACGCAUUGCCCGGUAGCUAAGUUCGGAAUCGAUAACCGCUGAAAGCAUCUAAGCGGGAAGCGAGCCCUGAGAUGAGUCUUCCCUGAUACUUUAAGUAUCCUAAAGGGUUGUUCGAGACUAGAACGUUGAUAGGCAGGGUGUGUAAGCGUUGUGAGGCGUUGAGCUAACCUGUACUAAUUGCCCGUGAGGCUUAACCAU